rnacentral:lncRNA from 1 species
AGCCCUAAACGUGUGUAAUCACUAAAGGGCGAAUUGAAAGUAAGUUUCAAUUCACAAUCGAUGUGAAAUGGUUUUAAUCGCCCAUUGCCUCGCUAAAAGGAACUAAUGGAUCGUACACCGUGUAAGGUGAAGAUUGAAGAAACAAUGGAGAUGAGUAAGAAUAAUUAAAUGGUUUAAUUAUUUAUGGCAAUGAUUAAUUAAUAUGUUAAUUAAUCAAACGAAUAAGUUCGUUAAAGACCUCGGGAUAGUUUUUGGACCUUAAGGCCCAAUGGGCUUCGAAUGUCAAGCCCAUUGACUUAAGUUGUAUGACAACUUAAUGUCUAAAUAUUCACAAAGGCCCAAACAACCCAAAUACACCCUAAGGCCGGCCAUAUUGUUAAGGGUAGUGUACUUGGACAUAUUUACAAGUUUGCUACUCAAAUGAAUAAAGGUAUAAAUAUGACUUUAUAGCCAAAUUCAUUUAGGGUUUGUUUUGGAGAAAAUUGGAGAGAACAUGUCUCUCCAUUUCUCUCUAAAGAGGCCGGCCCUUUGGAGGGUGCAUCUAGCAAUCCCACUACUCCAAGGUCACUCAUUUCUUCUCCAAUCUAAC